UACGUAGGGCGCAAGCGUUGUCCGGAAUUAUUGGGCGUAAAGAGCUCGUAGGCGGCUUGUCACGUCGGAUGUGAAAGCCCGAGGCUUAACCUCGGGUCUGCAUUCAUACGGGCUAGCUAGAGUGUGGUAGGGGAGAUCGGAAUUCCUGGUGUAGCGGUGAAAUGCGCAGAUAUCAGGAGGAACACCGGUGGCGAAGGCGGCAUUCUGGCCGACAUUGACGCUGAGGAGCGAAAGCCAGGGGAGCAAACGGG
rnacentral:rRNA from 1 species